rnacentral:rRNA from 1 species
UAUGGUAAUUGCCAGCCGCCGCGGUAAUACGGAAGGUCCGGGCGUUAUCCGGAUUUAUUGGGUUUAAAGGGAGCGUAGGCCGGAGAUUAAGCGUGUUGUGAAAUGUAGAUGCUCAACAUCUGCACUGCAGCGCGAACUGGUUUCCUUGAGUACGCACAAAGUGGGCGGAAUUCGUGGUGUAGCGGUGAAAUGCUUAGAUAUCACGAAGAACUCCGAUUGCGAAGGCAGCUCACUGGAGCGCAACUGACGCUGAAGCUCGAAAGUGCGGGUAUCGAACAGG